CGGACGGGUGAGUAAUGUAUGGGGAUCUGCCUGAUGGCGGGGGAUAACUACUGGAAACGGUAGCUAAUACCGCAUAAUGUCUACGGACCAAAGCGGGGGACCUCCGGGCCUCGCGCCAUCAGAUGAACCCAUAUGGGAUUAGCUAGUAGGUAAGGUAACGGCUUACCUAGGCGACGAUCCCUAGCUGGUCUGAGAGGAUGAUCAGCCACACUGGGACUGAGACACGGUCCAG
rnacentral:rRNA from 1 species